UCUCCUGUAGCUCCGUGGUUGAGCUUCCGAUCGGCAUGCGGAAGGUCAUAGGUUCGACUCCUGUUGGGAGAA